rnacentral:rRNA from 1 species
CGGGGGGGGCAAGCGUUGUUCGGAAUUACUGGGCGCAAAGGGCUCGUAGGCGGCCAACUAAGUCGGAUGUGAAAUCCCCAAGCUUAACUUGGGAACUGCAUCCGAUACUGGAUGGCUUGAAUCCGGGAGAGGGAUGCAGAAUUCCAGGUGUAGCGGUGAAAUGCGUAGAUAUCUGGAGGAAUACCGGUGGCGAAGGCGGCAUCCUGGACCGGCAUUGACGCUGAUGAGCGAAAGCUAGGGGAGCAAACGGGAUUAGAUACCCCGGUAGUCCUAGCCCUAAACGAUGAAUGCUUGGUGUGGCGGGUAUCGAUCCCUGCCGUGCCGAAGCUAACGCAUUAAGCAUUCCGCCUGGGGAGUACGGUCGCAAGGCUG